rnacentral:rRNA from 1 species
UCUCAGUUCAGAUUGCAGGCUGCAACCCGCCUGCAUGAAGUCGGAAUUGCUAGUAAUCGCGGAUCAGCAUGCCGCGGUGAAUACGUUUCCGGGCCUUGUACACACCGCCCGUCACACCAUGGGAGCCGGUAAUACCCGAAGUCAGUAGUCCAACCUCGUGAGGACGCUGCCGAAGGUAGGAUUGGCGACUGGGGUGAAGUCGUAACAAGGUAUC